rnacentral:lncRNA from 1 species
AGAGAGAGUUAGACUCCUAUGCUUUCGAAAGUAUGGGGCCUCCGUACUUAUAAGUUAUUUUCGAUGAUGGGACGUCCAAUUCGGUGAUCGGUUUCGUUAGACAUGAUCUACGCUAUUGGAACUAUCUAGAAAUCAAAUUUCAUAAUUUUUUGACUUUGUUUGCCUAGUGAACAAGUAGCCUCAAAAUGAACGGCUGAAAAUAAAAAUCUCAUAAAAAACAAUGAUAAAUGACUCAAAUUUCAAAUCAGAAGUAUUGAUCUUGCUAUUGACGUUUAGUAGAAUUUUCUAUUAAAUUUUUAUGUAAUUUGGAUAUUUCUACACCGUUGAACUUAAAAAUGUACCGCAUCGGCCAUUAAAAUAGUCAUUUUUGGGACCUUUUGAUCGCUUAGUAAAUGAUGUCAAAAAAUUAUAAAAUUUGGUUUCUAGAUAGUUCCAAUAGAGUAGAUUAUACCUAACGGAGCCGAUUGGCGAAUCGGAUGUCUUAUCAUCGAAAACAACUUACAAGCACGAAGGUCUCGGUACUUUCGAAAGUAUAGUAGACACACUAUAUAUAUAUAUAUAUAUAUAUAGAGUUUAUCUAGGAUACUUUUACAAGUAUCAUCCUCAUGUUGCUAUCACGUUUUUAGCCAUUGGAUCUACUUUUUGAUUACAAAUAGCCCUUGGAUCAAACAUUAUUCCACCUACCACCACCUACCACCACCUACCCCCAUCAUUUCAACCUCACAUCUCUCCAUCCAAGGGCUAAAAACACACAAGUAUCACUUGGGUGAUACUUGUAAAAGUAUUCUAGCCCUACUCUAUAUAUAUAUAUAUAGUGCGUCUGUCUGGAAGCACGGAGCGCUCCGUGCUUCCAAGUUGUUUUCGAUGUUCGGACUUUCGAAUCGACGAUCGGCUCCGUUAGACUUGAUCUAGAGUAUUUGAAGUAUCUAAAAAAUAAAUUUUGCGAUUUUUCGAUAUCAUUUGCCUAGUGAUCGAAAUGGCUCAAAAUCAACGGCUGAAAAUAAAAAUCUUACAAAAUAUGAUGAUAUGACAUUAAAAUUUUAGAUCAAAGUUAUUGAUCUUGUUUUAUAUGGUAUAAAGAAUUUUCUAUCAAAAUUUCAUAUGAUUUGGAUAUUUCUACACCGUUAAACUUGCAACCGGCUCACCACGGCUGUUAAAAUUAUUGAUUUUGAACCCCUUCGAUCACUAGGCAAAUGAUAUCGAAAAAUCGCAAAAUUUAUUUUUUAGGUAUUUCAAAUACUCUAGAUCAACUCUAACGGAGCCGAUCGGCGAUUCGAAAGUCCGAACAUCGAAAAUAACUUAGAAGCAUGGAGGCCUCCGUGCUUCCAUAAGCAUACCAACACAACUCAUAUAUAUAGUAUUUUAAGAAAAAGUUUCAAAGCUUUAUCAAAAGAAACAUUUCACGCUGUUCUUCAAAAUGCACAAAUCAUAAGUGCAGUUGAUGUUUAAAAUAGAAUUAAUACCCAAUCAACAUUUAAUUAGGAGUACAGAUUUGUGCAUUAAAAAGAAAAGAAAGAGGAGCUGCUUCCUGAAACAGCAGGGGGUGGUCGAUGGACUUCGACCUCGGCGGCGGCAGCGUCGGCUUGGGUGGCUACGGCGGCAGACACGACGGCGGCUGUGGACGCAACGAGACCGGCGUCGGCUUGGGUGGUGAGGCCGGCGACUUGAGCGGCGUCGACUUGCGCAACGUCGGCAGCUGAAGCCGAGCUCUUUUCCCCUUUUUUUUAUUCUUUUAACGCUUCUUCUCCUCCUCCUCCUCCUUUUUCCACUUCUUCUUUUAUCUCUUGUUACUCCUCCUCCCUCUCUCGAUUACUUUCUUUCUUCUUAUUNUUGGUAACCUAACUCUUUACACGCCAAUCUUACUGCACCCGGGAGAUCCCAACUCACUCACCAACCAACUUAUCAUAUUAGAUUGCCCAUUUUUAUUAGUUUGUCAAUUUAGAUUGCCACCUUUUGAGCUAUCGUGAUUCGGCGACCACGAUAGCUAUCAUAGGGUCGGCCUGAGAUAUAUAUAUAUAUAUAUAUAUAUAUAUAUAUAUAUCUUACUCCGAUGUUAUGAUAGUUUUCGUGUUUGUGAGAGGCACGAUAGUUCGAGCAAAAUUUGGAACGCUGAAAGUCUUUAACAUCCCAAUCCUACUAUAAUCAGUCAAUCUCAACUCUCCAGGGGGAUCCCAACUCACCAGGGGUGACCCAAUAUCAUAAAUUAGGUUACCAAUCUUUAAAAAAAUUAAUAGCACCAAUACCUUUGUGCUAUUGAUAGUAUUCCAGUCUAGUUAUAUAUAUAUGUAUAUAUAUAGCUCCUAUGCUUUUAAAAGUAUCAAAUUAUUGGUGCUUGUAGAUUUUUGGCCAUUGGAUUAAAAGAUAUGCGGUUAGGAUGACGUGGGACCCCUAGGGUUGUGGGGUGGUUGGUUGAAUAAUAUGAUCUAACAAAUAAAAAUGAUUAAGAAGUAGAUCUAACAGUAAAAAAUUUACAAGCACAAAAACUUGUGCUUUAAUAAGCACCAUAACCGGACUCUAUAUAUAUAGAGAGAGAGAGUCUGGCUACUAUACUCUUCUGACUAUACCUCUUUGAACUCAUAAGUUUUCUGCCGUUAGAUCUAUCUCUUUGCCCAUAUCCACCCGUUAGAUCAUACUAUUCAACCAACCACCCACUCAACCCUAGGGGACCACUAUCAACGUAACCAGGCAUUAUCAUCCUAACUGCACAUCAUUUUAUCCAACGGCCGAAAACUUAUGAGUUUAUAAGUACAAAAGGAUUUAAACUUAUAAGAGUAUAGUACCUCUAGCAUAUAUAUAUAUAUAGAGAGAGAGAGAGAGUGAGCUGGUAAACUUCUGAAAGUACGGAGCCUUCCGUACUUCCAAGUCAUUUUUGAUGAUGAGACUUUCGAAUCGACGAUCUGCUCCGUUAGAGUUGAUCUAGAGUAUUUGGAAGCAUCCAAAAAAAUAAUUUUGUAAUUUUUCGAUAUCAUUUGCCUAGUGAUGAAAGGGGCUCAAAAUUAAUAAUUUUAAUGGCCGUGGUGAGCUGUUGCAAGUCUAACGGUGUAGAAAUAUUCAAAUCACGUGAAAUUUUGAUAGAAAAUUCAUUAUACUAUAUAAAAUAAGAUCAAUAACUUUGAUCUAAAAUUUUAAUGUCAUAUCGUCAUAUUUUGUAAGAUUUUUAUUUUCAGCCGUUGAUUUUGAGCUCCUUAGUUCACUAGGCAAAUAAUAUCGAAAAAUCACAAAAUUUAUUUUCUAGCUACUUCAAAUACUCUAGAUCAACUCUAACGGAGCCGAU